UGCCACAGCCAUAUCACACUGUAGCCCAAGACCAACUUCUCACUGAAGCUAUGCAGGGCUGAUACUGGUCAGUAUCUGGAUGGGAGACCACAUGGGAAAACUAGUUUGCUGUUGAAA
ensembl:rRNA 5S_rRNA 5S ribosomal RNA